rnacentral:rRNA from 1 species
UACGGGGGAUGCAAGCGUUAUCCGGAUUUAUUGGGUUUAAAGGGUGCGUAGGCUGUGAGGUAAGUCAGCGGUGAAAUGCCCCCGCUCAACGGGGUGAAGUGCCAUUGAUACUGCCUUGCUGGAAUGCGGAUGCCGUGGGAGGAAUGUGGGGUGUAGCGGUGAAAUGCAUAGAUAUCACACAGAACACCGAUUGCGAAGGCAUCUCACGAAUCCGCGAUUGACGCUGAUGCACGAAAGCGUGGGUAUCAAACAGG